AAGCCAGUUUCACAGGGACGUGGAGCUUCAAUUGCUUCUGUAUGGGAACUGUUGAAUCAUGGCCUGAACAAGCACUGAGUUAGCCCUGGGAACACAGGUGGAGACAACUCUGUGUGACCAGAAGGGGUAGAGCCUGCCUGCAUCUCUCCUGGACCCCAUUUAAGGGCUGAUUGCCCUUGGAGGAGCAUCUUUUUCUGGAGAUUGCUCCCUUUGGAGUUUUCCUGUGAGCUCAGGACAUAGCUCGAAGAAAUGCUUCAUGUAACAGACGUCCCGGUGCUGGACACCAUGCAAUGGAAUCACCAUCAGGGCUUCGACUGUGGAGUGCUCUACAUGCUCUACGCUUGCAGUGAAAAGACAGAUUAAGUAUUGGCACCAGGACUUCCAACUGAGCUCUGGAAAUACUGCUGUCCAGCUGGCUCUGACUCAUUUAGUCCUACAAAUAAAAGUGCUACAAAUCUAAAAUCUAAUUGACUGUGUUUCUAAUGCAGGUAUCAUAGAAUCAUAAACUAAUUGAGGACACCAUUCAACCACCCCUCCUGAAGCACAGUCAGUUAGAAAAGGUUGUGCAGGACUGAGUCAUUGGAUUUUGAAUAUGCCCAAGAACAAACUCCUCUUCUACCUGUCUCAUCUCUCAUCCUCUCACUCGGUACCAUUGAGAAGAGCCUGGCUGCAUCAUCUUUGCAUCAUCCCAUAAGGUUGGUUGGUUUGUUUAUUUUUUUUUCUAGUGACUAAGCAUCUAAUUUGAAUCAACUGUGGGAGAAGAGAGGAUUGAAGCUGGUAAACCUGCCUAAAGAAAUCUGUACAGAACAGAUGGAAUCUUUAACUUAUCUGCAGCGGCUCUGCUGGCUAGACUUGCACUAUUUGCUAAUGGUGUGUCCUAACCAGAAAUAUGCUGACAUCCAUCCACAGCUCCAAGACAACUUUCUGAAUGGCAGGGACUGGAUGCUGCUGGUACAUACCUGGCUGGCUGCAUGACAGUCUGAGGCCGUAGUAAGAUUUGUUCCUCAGAAUUGGGGAGGUCUACACACAUCUGUCCCAAGCAAAUACAUUUUCUCAGUGAGGCUUUCUCAGAAGCUCUUGAGGGAACAUAGUCAAGAUCUGGAAAUUCAACAGAGGCUUUUUCCACCCCUUCACACACCUGGCAGGAAGAUUCCAUUUGGGCACUUCACCCACUUUGCCAUGGAUCUUCAAGAUCCAAAGAAGAAGGUUCUUGAAAAAUCUGAAAUACAAUCAGGGUCUGAAUUAUAAAACCCUCUGAGUAAAGAUCUGGAAACAUCUGCAAACUGCCACACAUCUCUGUAGCACUGUUGGAAUGGUAAGAAAACCAGUGCUCGGAGGAGGAAAAUAUAAGCUCUCUCUUUAAAGCAGAUGAUCUUCUGCUCUCAACAAGGUAAGAUAAGGAUACAGGUUUUAAAAAACAGAAGAACAAACAAACGCCUAGUAAAUGUCACUGCGAUAUUUACUGAAGAGUUGUGUAAAUAUUAUUUAUCAUGCCAAAUGCACUUCCAAAGCAGAUGCCUUCUAUGAUCUGGUUACUCAGCCACAUCAAAAGAAAAUAGUUACAGUUUCAGCCUUCCAGGCAGCAUUACCAUUUACAGGUCUCCAUAAGGCCAGUUCAUCCCAACACCAGAAGAGUGACUCAGCUUGUUUAUGAUGCCCUUCAGCCUUAAUUCGGCUACACAGACACAUUUGUCCAUGACAAGGUUAGGAACUAGCCCUUGCAUGAGAUGUCCCAACCUACAGUUUUGGGCACAGACCUUUUUAAAUUGUUUGUUACCCCAGGAUCUCAUAUCAGAGCCACUCAGGUUCACUCAGGCUCUGAUUGCCAUCUCUGCCACUCAGGCAGUUCUCAGAGAGUUCAGAUUUUGGUUCAAGCCCCAGAAGUUUUGGUAUCCAAUGUAGAAGCUUGCCAACACAACCUGAAACUUCAAAGAAAUGUAAUUUACCUGAUAAAGAUAAGCCAGACAACCACCAGAUUCAUUUCAAUGCAAGUGAUACUUGUAGUCAAAAUCCCAUAUUUAUAUGUACUAUGUAUUCUAUUUGUAUGUUCAGAGCUUAGGACUAAAAAUGUCAGGCAGUGUAGCUCUUAGGACAGGGAUUUGUGCAACUGGUAUAUUUUUUUACAGGGCCCUGAAAGAUGCUGGGGAAAAACACUUCUCAGCAGAAAAUCCUAUUACUUCAGGGAAAUCUUCCGGGGAAACACUUGGAAAGGUACACAGAUCUACAACUUUCCUUCAGUAAAGCCUAAACAAUAUAUGACAAUCUGUGCCAAGCUGAUGCUAUAUGAAAGCGCUUCAAUAUUUUUCUUUUCAAGUAGAUUCAGCUAUCAAGUUUUAAACAAGUUGAGCAUUAAUCUACAUUUGUUUGAACACAUUGCCUCAGUGACAGAUGACCUUAGCUGUCAGAGUCCUGUUUCUCCUUUGCUGCACAGACAUUAUGUACAGUAGCUCUUAUUCCCCUUCCCUCCUGAGCAAGGGAAAGUUAGAAGGGAGAUUCCAUGGCACCUUCUGAGAACAGAGCUCUAACUACUGAGUACCAAACCCUCCAUAUUUUAAGUCCACAAUUUAAGUUAAAAAAAAAAAAAAA